UGGGGAAUUUUGGACGAAUUGGGCGAAAGCCUGAUCCAGCAAUGCCGCGUGUGUGAAGAAGGCCUUCGGGUUGUAAAGCACUUUUGUCCGGAAAGAAAUCCUUGGCUCUAAUACAGUCGGGGGAUGACGGUACCGGAAGAAUAAGCACCGGCUAACUACGUGCCAGCAGCCGCGGUAAUACGUAGGGUGCAAGCGUUAAUCGGAAUUACUGGGCGUAAAGCGUGCGCAGGCGGUUUGCUAAGACCGAUGUGAAAUCCCCGGGCUCAACCUGGGAACUGCAUUGGUGACUGGCAGGCUAGAGUAUGGCAGAGGGGGGUAGAAUUCCACGUGUAGCAGUGAAAUGCGUAGAGAUGUGGAGGAGUACCGAUGGCGAAGGCAGCCCCCUGGCAAGUACUGACGCUCAUGCACGAAAACGUGGGGAGCAAACGGAUUAAU
rnacentral:rRNA from 1 species